UCUGCCUCAAAUCAGG
rnacentral:rRNA from 1 species